UUCAUUUUGCAAAGAUGGGAGACAGUGCCAGCUGGCUGUAACUCAAGCGUCAAUCUUCUCUCUAGUUAUACAUGAACUUUGGAAUACACUCUACUGAAAGAAGCACAAACCCAAACAUCUGGGAAGAAGGCUGCUCAGGGAAUGAAAGAGAUGCAGCUUCUCUAUUUCAAUAUCAUUCUAAUUUUCUGGAUCACAAUCUUCCUUUGCACUUUGAGAAGUUCCAGAUGCCAUGUGGUCAUCUUCUUUGACAUCUUCCCCCCAA